UAAACGACUCUCGGCAACGGAUAUCUCGGCUCUCGCAUCGAUGAAGAACGUAGCGAAAUGCGAUACUUGGUGUGAAUUGCAGAAUCCCGUGAACCAUCGAGUUUUUGAACGCAAGUUGCGCCCGAAGCCAUUAGGCCGAGGGCACGCCUGCCUGGGCGUCACACGUCGUUGCCCCUCCCAACCCCUUCGGGAGUUGGCUGGGACGGAUGAUGGCCUCCCGUGCGCUCCGUCGCGCGGUUGGCAUAAAUAACAA
rnacentral:rRNA from 1 species